rnacentral:lncRNA from 1 species
GUGUUUGUGUCGACAAUUACAAGGGAGAAGAAGAGAAGCAACCUAGUUCAUCCUCUUCACAAAUUGAUGCAAUUCUCCACCAAAUUGAAGUGUUUGGGGCUUGAUUCUUUGGGCUUUAAGCCUUUCUAUACAUCUAAGACAAGCUUGACUCUUUGACGAGCUAGGUGGAAGCUUGGAGAGGAUUGGUCAAACGAAAUAAAGAUGCCAGGAAACUUGCACGGAUGCGAGGUAAGUAAAACUUACACCCCUAGAAUAGGAUCAUUGAUCAUGUGAGGGUAAUGUCUUGACAGUUAGUUAAAGGUUAUCGAGUAACCAGUUUUGGUAACAUGUAUAAAAAUGGAAUGAAUUCCUUGGUGUAAACCAUGAAACGUGUCAAAUUAGUGAGUUGUAAAAUAAGCCACUUGUUGGUAAUGAUGAUGAUAUGCUAAAAAUGAAUUCCAUGGUGUAAACCAUGAAAUGGGUCAAAAUAGUAAACCGCAAACCAAAUCAUUUGUUCGUGAUGAUGAUGAUGUACUAAAAUGAAACCCAGUGGCGUAAACCAUAACGGGUCAAAAUGGGUAAAUGUGACCUUAAAACAAAGGGGGUUCCGGUUAAUACUCUUAAGGGGUAGACUGGGAAUCGGUCUAAGGAACCAUCAGACAAACCAUAGUUACCUAAAUCGCUAGGGUAGCCACAAUCCACGUAUUGGAUCGUGGUGUACCCAAUCGGAAAUCGUAAGCGUACCGGAACGACAUGGUCCGGGGAACCGGGUUGCGUCGGUACGGUGUUCUUGAUUGCGGAGGUACGGCGAUCCAAAUUGAUCCAGUUCAGCAAACCAAAUAGACAAGGUCGAGGUUCCAAAUCGAUUGGGAUACAACGAUCCAUAGCUAUUUUAGGUGGGAACCAGGAAGAAAGGGGAAGAAGACCAGCGGCUGCGUCUGUGUGUUAUCUGGCUGUUUUAGGCUUUUUAGGUUUAAAGAAGUUUAGUUAUUUCAACAUUUAACCCCUCUAUGUUUUCUAGUUUACAUUUAAACGCUAAAACUUAUAGUUUUUACAUAAAAAGUGUAAAAGUAGUUUGUGUAUUUGAACAUUUAACCCCCUCUAUCUUCACUAGUUUACAUUUGAUCCUUAAACUUAUAAACUUACACAUAAAAAGUAUAAAUUAACAUUAUAUAUAUAUAACAAUGAACCAAAUUACAUCAAUUUCUACUCCUAUUCAAUUUUUAUCUUCAACCUUCAAUGUUUAUGUUUGGUAAUUUGAAUUUUGGAAUUUGGUAAUUUAUGUUUUAAUCUGUGUACACCGAACCGGAUUCCAUGGUACACUGUACCGGUUCGUACCGAAAUGAACCUACCCCCGUUCGUACCGAAAACGUCACCUCUAGCGAAUCGCGUACCCGAACCACGUACCCGUACCGGAGCGAACAGCGAAUUAGGUAACUAUGAGACAAACAAACAGGUCAAAUAGUGAUAAUAUCACCAUUUGAAUCUGAGACAUGUUUUGCCGGGUCAUACGGGUCAAAGGGUGAUGUUGUCACCAUUUGAGCAUAACAUCUAAUGAUGUAUCUUGUUGAGUACGCUUCUUACAGGUAAGCGUGAUGGACAGGCAUGCAUUGCCAUGACAAGCGUAAGGUAACACAAAGUGUAAGAAUAAACGGGUCAAUAUUUAAACCUGUGCCAGGUAUGAAAUAAUAGUGAUACCAUCGUAAAGGGGGUCGGGUUGUCUAAUGAUGGUAGGAUUAGAAUUGGGUGAUGAAAUCACCCAUGUAAACUACACGUAGAAAUUGGAUAUAAAGCUUUUGAGCCAUAAGCUUUUCCAAGGGUUGAAAUUGACUUAAACGCCCUUGGAUUAGUGUUUUGGGGUAAAUUACUUCCGAUAUAAGUUGAAUAAGAAGUUUUUAGAUGGAAAGUCUUCUAAAUGAUUAUCAAUGAGUGACCUGAACUAUAAAGACUAUAAGUCUCGAAACGGGUAAUUUUUGAAAAAUGUCGUACCGGAGGGUGUAAUGGGAAUGUAAUGGUAUUUUUAAUAAUGACCAACCACAAAUAAGGUUGUGGUUGGAAUGAAUGACAAAACUAAGUAUGGAAGUUGGAAAUUUUAAAUGAUCACUA